GAGACAGACACACCUACUGUAUAGAUGAGACACACCCACAGGUGAGACAGACACACCUACUGUAUAGAUGAGACACACCCACAGGUGAGACACACCCACAGGUGAGACAGACACACCUACUGUAUAGAGACACACCCACAGGUGAGACACGCCCACAGGUAACCACAGACACACCCACAGGUGAGCCACACCUGAACACUGAAGUCUGUGU